rnacentral:lncRNA from 1 species
GUCACUAAGUCAGAUCUACCACUAGACAUCCAUAAUGGUGCCUUCUUCAUCUAGAUUAAAUUCACAAGUCAGAGUUGGCCAACCAAUUUUGAGACUGUUAGAUAAGAGCUGGCCAACAAAUUCUGAGACUGUUAGAUCAGGACUGGCCAACCAAAUAUGAGACUGUGAGAUCAGGGCUGGCCAACCAAUUCUGAGACUGUUAGAUUAGAGCUGGCCAACCAAUUCUGAAACUGCCAGAUCAGGGCUGGUCAACCAAUUCUGAGACUGUUAGAUCAGGGCUGGCCAACCAAUUCUGAGACUGUUAGAUCUGGGGUGGCCACCCAAUUAUGUGACUGUUAUAUCAGGGCUGGCCAACCAAUUCUGAGACUGUCAAAUCAGGGCCGGCCAACUGAUUAGGAGACUGUUAAGUCAGGGCUGACCCUGGCUGACCAAGUCUCACAGUGUUAGAUCGGGGCUGGCCGACCAAGUCUCACAGUGUUAGAUCGGGGCUGGCUGACCAAGUCUCACAGUAUUAGAUCAGGGCUGGCUGACCAAGUCUUGCAGUGUUAGAUCAGGGCUGGCUGACCAAGUCUUGCAGUGUUAGAUCAGGGCUGGCUGACCAAGUCUCGCAGUGUUAGAUCAGGGCUGGCUGACCAAGUCUCCCAGUGUUAGAUCAGGGCUGGCUGACCAAGGUUGUGGUUAGUCAACUAAAUCUGUGAAUCUUGGCAUGGUUAACUAAUUUUAUAAACAUUUCUUUACCUAAAAUACAUUUUUGAUUGCUUGUGUAUACUGUUGAGCUUUAAUAUAUAACAUUGUCUUCAUUUGAAAUAUUCUAAAUUUCUAUGAUAUCUUGAUGUACAGCUCUAGACCAUGUGCACACUCACAAACACAGACACUGGCUGAUUACACUGACGCAGACACUGACACAGAAAGACUGACUGCUUUACACAUAUUGUUCCAUGAACUGCCCCACACAGAGACAUCGACACAGCAGCUGUCAUUCGAUGGUGGGCCCCAACACCUCUCUUCUUGUUAAAUGUGCAAGCUAUCAGAUGGUGUCAGAGCAAUGAGUCUCCAGGUGAAACAGCAUUCCGAUUUGUUGCUUUGUAAAGGCCCAUGGAUUUCACUGGAAUGUUAUAGAAACAAUGAUAAAACAAGAAUUCAAUACCUUUUAUAGUUAUAAAUCCUGUCUAAACGUUUACAGUCUGUAAUGCAAAAAAUAAACUAACUUGACAUUUUAUCUCCUGGCCACAUAUAUUAUUAUUUAUUAUAUAUAAUAUUCUUCAUUAAGAGAUAUAUAUAUAUAUAUAUAUACACACACACACACACACAAUAUUUUUCUGUUUUUUAAUGUCAGCAUACAGGAGAGGGUAGGACUGGAGUUGGAGUCUCCCAUUUCUCCAAGGAAAAGCACCAAAAUCGGGACUAGCCAACUUGAUUCUGCACAGUUUGCAAGUACUGUAUAUGUCAUUGGCCUGGCCAGUCGCCAGUUGGAGUGAUGAUCAGGUCUCAUUGCAAGUAAGCUCCAGGUAAUAGAUACAGGUCGCAUAUUGCAGGCAGUGUUGGUACCAUUAUUGAUGCUGACUCAUGCUCAGGGCCAUCUUUAACGCAAGGCAAACAGGGCAGCUGCCCCGGGCCCAGUUACUCCUGAGGGGCCCAAGGCAGCUGCCCUCAAUAAUUUAUGUGGUCCCAGCACUCUAAGGAGGCCCAAUGGGUGGCCCAUGCAUUUAGGGCCACUCGGCGGGCUUCUAUCAGCAGGGGCCCGUCGGGUGCUGUGGCCCUUUAACAGCACGACCGGGCCCUUGCUUUUCGGCAACAUUGGUAGAAGUAACUGCCGUGAGUCACUUCCUCCCAUAAAGAGGGCAGGCGUGCGGGAGGGAGUAGAGCGGGAGUGAGGAGAAGGCAG